GCUGCUGUAGCUCAGUAGGUAGAGUGCAUCCUUGGUAAGGAUGAGGUCACCAGUUCGACUCUGGUCAGCAGCUCCA
rnacentral:tRNA from 1 species